CAGUCGCCACGGGAAUACGAAGGGUGCAAGCGUCAAUCGGAAUUACUGGGCGUAAAGCGUGCGUAGGCGGUUUGUUAAGUCUGUUGUGAAAUCCCCGGGCUCAACCUGGGAAUGGCAAUGGAUACUGGCAAGCUAGAGUGUGUCAGAGGAUGGUGGAAUUCCCGGUGUAGCGGUGAAAUGCGUAGAGAUCGGGAGGAACAUCAGUGGCGAAGGCGGCCAUCUGGGACAACACUGACGCUGAGGCACGAAAGCGUGGGGAGCAAACAGGAUUAGAUACCCGCGUAGUCCCUGUCUCUUAUAC
rnacentral:rRNA from 1 species